AGAAUGUGAAGCCCUGGACUGAGCCACAGGGUUGGAUGGAAACAGGAUGGCCAUCAGGCCAAAAAGAAUGAAUGCUGCUUAGCACAGAGGAAACCAAACCAAAUAAGACACGGUCCCUGUUCUCAUCUUCAAAAAGGGGAAAACACUGCCUCUCCCCAGAUAUCUCCUCACCGUGACGAGUUAAGAGAUGGCACAAGAACUUUGCCCCCUCCGGACAAGGCCGUCACUCUUCCCUCCAUCCCCUCCAAACACUGGCAGCCUCAGUGCCAUUAUUUGCCUUAAGACCGUCCAGACCAAACCCAGCAUGGCCUUUAUUCCUGUUCAUGUCAGUCGUCAUGGGAAGCUCAGGCCAUUCAUCCCAGGAGUUUUAUCUGCAUGAGCACUGGUGCUGCCACUGUGUCCUCCCAACUCCUGAGUCCAUUAAAGAGGUUCUUGUGCUUUAUGGCCUCUGAUCAGAUUCAACCAAUGGAGGCUGUGGCCAGGUGGAAGGAGGAGACUGAAACUGGGGUCUGUAUUCCCCUGAUGUCCUCCCUGUUGGUUUGCUAUGGAUUGCCCUCACCCCUCUUCUCAAAGCACAGCUCCUCUCCAUCAAGCUACUCCCGCGGGCUUUGUAUAACCACCCUCUCCUCUUGACCCUUUAGAUGGUAACAGAACCUAUUUCUUGCCCUUUCCUGGGCACUAUGUCAUCCCUUGUUGGUUUCCUUAACUCCUGCCCACAUUUGCAAAUAAUCCCUUUAUUAAGCUCUUCUCAGAUACCCAGUUUGAAGGAGCCAUCUGUUUCCUGCCAAGGUUGUGACGGAUACACUACUGAAUGAUUAUUUGUUAGAUGAAUGAAUGACUGAAUCUCUGUAAGAAAACGGAGAUCACCAGGAAGCACUCUUUGCAGCAAACAUGAUGGCUGCGAGGGUGGUGGGAAUUUUUCCCAUUUCAGUAACUUAACACUGGAAGCACAGAAGGGAGGAGCAGCUACCUACCAAAUAAGGCAGAGGACAUAUGGACAGUCAUAGAGGGGGAGGAGGGCAUGAAGACCCAUGUGCUGAGGCGUGGAGCCAGCCAUGAAGCCACCAUCUAUGGGAGCCACAAGAGAGGAGAUGCCACUGGUAGGACACAUCAGGAAUCUCAAGGAAAGGAGAGUGAUGUGGUUUCACAACCCUAAAGGUGGAGGCUGGGCCAGAGAAAUAAGGCCUUCCCUUUCCCUUCUUCCUACUGUCCCACCCACUGCUUCCUUGUGGCCUCAAUGAACUUGUGUGGCAGUAGUUAUCAAACAAAUGAAAAUGAGAACAGCCUGGAUAAAAUUACAGCUACAAAAUCAGCAGUUAUAUAACCAGUGAAACUAAUAUACCUGUGGACUUCAGGAACAUUAUAAAUCAAUGCAACUCUUUCAGAAAGCUCUGUGGCAAUACGUAUUGCAUUUUAAGUAAAACUUUGUAACUUGUGACUCUGUAAUCUCAUUCCUAAAUGUUCAUCCUCAAGAAUGUUUGUGAAGACAAAUUUGCAGUACUGCAUUAUCCCUAGGUUGAACAAUGUAGAGUAUAUACUAUUCAGUAAACAGAAUACAAUGUAAAAAAGUCUAUAUACAAUAGGCAGAGAUAUAAAACUAAAUGUGCAUAUAGGCAAAAUUCAGAGGGAAGAGGCAGAAAUGAAAAGAGUAUCAAUAGAAGAGAA